rnacentral:rRNA from 1 species
UAGGGAAUCUUCCACAAUGGGCGCAAGCCUGAUGGAGCAACGCCGCGUGAGUGAAGAAGGUCUUCGGAUCGUAAAACUCUGUUGUUAGAGAAGAACACGAGUGAGAGUAACUGUUCUUGUAUUGACGGUAUCUAACCAGAAAGCCACGGCUAACUACGCGCCAG